rnacentral:rRNA from 1 species
GACGAACGCUGGCGGCGUGCUUAACACAUGCAAGUCGAACGGAAGGGCCCUGCUUUUGUGGGGUGCUCGAGUGGCGAACGGGUGAGUAACACGUGAGUAACCUGCCCUUGACUGUGGGAUAACUUCAGGAAACUGGGGCUAAUACCGGAUAUGAGCUCCUGCUGCAUGGUGGGGGUUGGAAAGUUUCGGCGGUUGGGGAUGGACUCGCGGCUUAUCAGCUUGUUGGUGGGGUAGUGGCUUACCAAGGCUUUGACGGGUAGCCGGCCUGAGAGGGUGACAGGGCACAUUGGGACUGAGAUACGGCCAAGACUCCUACGGGAGGAAGCAGUGGGGAAUAGUGCAAAAUGGGCGGAAGCCUGAUGCAGCAACGCCGCGUGCGAGAUGACGGCCUUCGGGUUGUAAACCGCUUUCGCCUGUGACGAAGCGUGAGUGACGGUAAUGGGUAAAGAAGCAACGGCUAACUACGUG